ACCUAAAUAGUUUAAAAAAAACGUUAGCUUGUGGCGCUUGAAAUGUAAUGUAUUACUUUAGGUA
rnacentral:tRNA from 1 species